rnacentral:rRNA from 1 species
AUUGAACGCUGGCGGCAGGCCUAACACAUGCAAGUCGAGCGGGGUUUUCGGACCUAGCGGCGGACGGGUGAGUAAUGCGUAGGAAGCUGCCCGAUAGAGGGGGAUACCAGUUGGAAACGACUGUUAAUACCGCAUAAUGUCUACGGACCAAAGUGUGGGACCUUCGGGCCACAUGCUAUCGGAUGCGCCUACGCGGGAUUAGCUAGUUGGUGAGGUAAUGGCUCACCAAGGCGACGAUCUCUAGCUGGUUUGAGAGGAUGAUCAGCCACACUGGAACUGAGACACGGUCCAGACUCCUACGGGAGGCAGCAGUGGGGAAUAUUGGACAAUGGGCGCAAGCCUGAUCCAGCCAUGCCGCGUGUGUGAAGAAGGCCUUCGGGUUGUAAAGCACUUUCAGCGAGGAGGAAGGGUGGUGAUUUAAUAGAGCAUCAUUUUGACGUUACUCGCAGAAGAAGCACCGGCUAACUCUGUGCCAGCAGCCGCAGUAAGAC